GGCGCUGUGGCUUAGUUGGUUAAAGUAUCUAACUAGUAAAUAGUAGAUCCUGGGUUCCAAUCCCAGCGGUUCCU
rnacentral:tRNA from 1 species